CGGUCCGCGUCGACCGAAAGUGUGGGUAUCAAACAGGAUUAGAUACCCUGGUAGUCCACACGGUAAAACGAUGAAUACUCGCUGUUGGCGAUAUACGGUCAGCGGCCAAGCGAAAGCAUUAAGUAUUCCACCUGGGGAGUACGCCGGCAACGGUGAAACUCAAAGGAAUUGACGGGGCCCGCACAAGCGGAGGAACAUGUGGUUUAAUUCGAUGAUACGCGAGGAACCUUACCCGGGCUUAAAUUAUCGCAUGAAUUACUUGGAAACAGGUAAGCCGCAAGGCAUGUAUGAAGGUGCUGCAUGGUUGUCGUCAGCUCGUGCCGUGAGGUGUCGGCUUAAGUGCCAUAACGAGCGCAACCCUUGCUGUCAGUUCUAAACAGGUAAUGCUGAGGACUCUGGCGGUACUGCCAAUCGUAAGAGUGUGAGGUAAGUGGGGACUCGACGUCAAAUCAGCACGGUCCCUUACGUCCGGGCUACGACACGUGUUACGAAGUCGGGGAAGUACAGAAGGCAGGUACUUCGCCGGCGACGGUCUGGGACCAAGUUCCCGGAAAGCUUCCCG
rnacentral:rRNA from 1 species